rnacentral:rRNA from 1 species
UACAGGGGGGGCAAGCGUUGUUCGGAAUUACUGGGCGUAAAGGGCCAGUAGGCGGCCAACUAAGUCCGACGUGAAAUCCCCAAGCUUAACUUGGGAACUGCGUCGGAUACUGGAUGGCUUGAAUUCGGGAGAGGGAUGCAGAAUUCCAGGUGUAGCGGUGAAAUGCGUAGAUAUCUGGAGGAACACCGGAGGCGAAGGCGGAUUGCUGGGCCGACACUGACGCUGAGGCGCGAAAGCCAGGGGAGCAAACGGG